GGGAGUGCGGGUGCUAUAAUGCAGUCGUGCGGACCUUGUUGAGCUUGGUUUUUAAGGGUAGCGGGGGACGGGUGAGUAACACGUGGGCAACCUGCCUGUGAGACUGGGAUAACGCCCGGAAACCGGGGCUAAUACCCCAUAGUUUUUUCCUCCCCAUGGGGGAAAAAGGAAAGGGGGGUUCUGCUGCCACUUACAGAUGGGGCCCCGGGGCAUUAUCUAGAUGGGGGGGUAACGGGCCCCCCAGGGAACGAUGCGUAGCCCACCUGAGAGGGGGAUCGGGCACAUUGGGACUGAGACACGGGCCAAACUCCUACGGGAGGGAGCAGUAGGGAAUCUUCCCCAAUGGGCAAAAGUCUGACAGAGCAACGCCCCGUGAGUGAAAAAAGGCUUCUGGGCGUAAAACUCUGUUGCCGGGGAAAAAAAAGUGCCGCUCGAACAGGGGGGGGCCUUGACGGGACCCGGGCAGAAAGCCCCGGGUAACUACAUGCCCCCAGCCGCGGGAAUACGCAGGUGGGAAGCGUUGUCCGGAAUUAUUGGGCGUAAAGCGCGCGCAGGCGGCUUCUUAAGUCUGAUGUGAAAUCUUGCGGGUCAACCGCAAGCGGGCAUUGGAAACUGGGAGGGUUGAGUGCGGAAAAGGAGAGAGGAAUUCCCCGUGUAGCGGGGAAAUGCGUAUAGAUGUGGAGGAACACCCCUGGGGAAAGCGGCUCUCUGGGCUGUAACUGACACUGAGGCGCGAAAGCGUGGGGAGCGAACACGAUUAGAUACCCUGGGAGUCCACGCCCCAAACGAUGAGAGCUAAAUGUUAGAGGGUUUCCCCCCUUUAGUGCUGCAGCUAUCACAUUAAGCACUCCCCCUGGGGAGAACAGGCGCACGGCUGAGACUCUCAGGAAUUGACAGGGGGCCCCACAAAGGUGGAGCAUGUGUUUUAUUUCUAAGAACACGCAGAACCUCACCCGGCUUGUCAUCCUCUGACCCUCUGGGACAGGGGCUUCUCCUCUUCGGAAAAGUGACACGUGGUGCAUGGGUGUCUCACUCUGUCUGAGAUGUUGUGGUAAAUCUCGCACAGAGCACCCUUGACCUUUAUGGCCCAUUACUUUGGGCUCUCAAGGACAG
rnacentral:rRNA from 1 species